AUGAAUCCAGCAAGAGCUAUUCUGUGUCGGCCCCUGACGCCACCGUACACUCCGCCUUCCAGCGCGCUCCCGCACGCGCCCGUCCAGCCACCGCCACCACGCGCCUGUGCUGCCCGAGGCUCCGGCUCAGGCGCGAGGACGCGCCCAUUCCCCCACCCCCUUAAACAGGAGAGGCCCUGGCCUCCCCAGCCUUCCCACCCUACCCCACCCAACAGGAUGGUCACUCAAGCCACCCCAGGCCUGUAUUUCCCCUCUUACCCGGCCGGCCAGUGGGCCGGCCUCCCUUCCCUUCCCCUAGUCGUCCACACCCACGCGUACAGAGGGGCCGGGGCCUCCCUCAAGCUGCGGCCUCGGCCUCCUCCCCGCGCGGCAGCUGGUGCCUCCCCGGCCCUACGGGGCUCACGCGCACGACACAGCCACAAGAUGUCCGCUCUGACGGAACUACUGCCAGCUGCCACGCUCCGCCCCUCCCCCCUCCUCCUGCCUCUUCACCGCCGCGUAUCAGUCCGCCAACGCCGCUGUCGCGAGCACAGGACGAAUCUAAGGGCGAAGGGGAACGGUUUACUUCCUAUAUCCAGGGCCGAGUUUAUCUGUGCUACCCCCGUUUCCUUCUUUUCGGAACAGCACCUUCUUACUAAACAGAUCGGAGAUUGGACUGUGAGGGCGGGGGCCGGAGGCGGGUCAUGGGCUGGGGGAAGGGUGGACGAGCGGCGGAAACCCUCAGACUCAGAGAAGCAUCGAGAACCGGAAGGAGACCAUGGCAGGAAGGUAAUGGAACCGGCAGCUGCGCGGUCGAGACCCACGCCCCUCCCAGCAGCGUCCCCCAAUUUCCUCACUUGGUAUUGAGGCGGCGGAUCUCGCGAGAACGUCGGGGCUGGCUAACAGGAGCUAUAGCGCUGCAAUGACUUAAGGGCAGUUUUGUGCGCUCUUCCGGAUGGGGGCCCUCCCCCAAACCUACAAAUUCUCGCGAGAUGCAAUAGGCACCGGCUCGAGUUGGGGCGGGCCGUCUCCUGGAAGCACCGCCCCUGAAUGCUUAUGCUGGUGGGAGGGAGAGGAAAUGGAAUUCCCCGGAGUGGUUAGAGCGCGCGCCGACACAUCCGUCUUUCACGCGCCCAAUCAGGAAUGUGCGGUGGGAGGUACCGCGGUUUAAUUACUAGAUACCUCUAGUGGUUGAUCCGGGCUUUUGAAGUUUUCGGUGAAGCAGGUGAGCGGUAUUUACUCUCCUGCUCGUUUGGGCUGGUUAACCAGUGGGAGGAGGCACCCCUCAGAAUGGAAACAAUCAUUUUAAAUAGAGCCGGCGGGCUGCUGAUCUGCGCUCUCACUUGCGGAAAUACAGCGCGUGGUUUUGUUUUGUUUUGUUUUUUGUUUUUUAAAGAUUUUCUUUUUAUUUAAUUGACAGAGAUAGAGACAGCCAGUGAGAGAGGGAACACAAGCAGGGGGAGUGGGAGAGGAAGAAGCAGGCUCCCAGCGAAGCAGGGAGCCUGAUCAAGGGUUCGAUCCCAGGACCCUGGGAUCAGGCCCUGAGUCGAAGGCAGACUGUAGCGUAUUUCUGACCUAGAGGGUCAGUACUGAAGAGUGGGCCCAUAUAGCCCUUCCCAGAAUUACAGCAGCCUAGAAAUCAAAUUCAAGUAUGAAUAAACAUGCAGGAUGGGAAGUUAGGGACGGGCUAUUUAUUUGCCUCUCGCCGUCCGCCAAGAUGGAGGUACUGGAAUAGGUUUAAAAACUUUUUCUGCCUCUUGCUCUGUUUCAAUUUCUAGAUUCGCAAAGUUGCAAAACUCAAGAGAUCAGAGUUUUGGGUCAGAAAAACUUACCACUUAACUGAAAUAUCGAGGGGGUGCAGAAAUAGAAGGAUAGAAUUGGCCUAUUUUAAUAUGCCGGGUGUAAAAUAUGGAGAGGGUGGUUUUGCUCGCUAGUGUAUCCUUCAGGCAAAGGGUAGUACAACAUUAAUUUUUGAAAGGAAUAAAGGUAAGAGCUGACUUGUUUAAAGCUUUCUAGCAUUCCUUUCUAACUUAACGAAGUAGAUAUUUUAAAGAAUUAAAUAGAAAUAUAAACUUGUGUUUAAAAUAUACUUAAAAAAAAAAGAGGGGCGCCUGGGUGGCACAGCGGUUAAGCGUCUGCCUUCGGCUCAGGGCGUGAUCCUGGCGUUAUGGGAUCGAGCCCCACAUCAGGCUCCUCUGCUAGGAGCCUGCUUCUUCCUCUCCCACUCCCCCUGCUUGUGUUCCCUGUCUCGCUGUCUGUCUCUGUCUCUGUCAAAUAAAUAAAUAAAAUCUUUAAAAAAAAAAAAAAAGAAAAGAAAAGCAGCAAGUUCUCUCAUGUUAUGAUAAAGUAUUACCUAAUAACUAAAAUAGGUCUGUGACGAAUGGUCUAAUGUAUACUGUUUAUGUGACCAGAGUGUGUGUCAUAGAGCAGUUAGUGAAACAGUGCUUCUCAAACUAGUAUCCAUGUGAAUCACGUAAGGAUUUUGUUCAGAAUGCAGUUUUGAUUUAGUAGGCCUUGGUGGAACAUGAGAUUUUACAGUUUUAACAAACUCCCAAGUAAUGCAGAUUAUUCUGGUCAGAAGACAACACUGUGAGUAGCAGAGCACUAAAGUGCUCAUCACAUAUCCUAUUUUUGUUCUACCAAAAUAAUCUUUGUUCUCUGUUUAACUGAUCUAAUAUAGUAGAAACACAGAAUUAGGCAGUUGGGAUGGAGGGUGAAAUCCAGGUUUGAGUUCUUGCUCUGUUCUCAUUUGUGUGAUACUGUGUGGUUGCUUACCAUCUUAGUUUCUUCCAAACUGAACUAUACAUAAUAAUUGCUGGCCUUUUUCACAGGAUUAUGGUAUGGUUCAGAUGUCAUAAUGUAUGUGAAAGGGUACUGUAGACUACAGUGCUGUGUAAACAUAAGAUACUAAUGUAACCAAUCAGACAUUAACUGGCCAUAAUGGGAAACAUGUAAGAAUAAUCAUAAAUAUAGGUAAUGUUUAUUCAACACUUGUCAUGUGUCAGGUACGGUACUUAUUAACCUCCUUUUACAAAUAAAAAAACUGAUGCAGAGAGAGAUUAAGUUACUAUUCCCAGGGUCACAAAGCUAAUAAAUGGCAGAAGUAGAAUUUGAACCCAUGCAGUUAACUUCAGGGUAUUUUUAACAAGCGGAGUUACAUAUUGUCUUUUAACUUAGGAAAAACAGGAGAGUAGGAUGUUUUAUAUUUCUACUUUCAGUGUCCUCUGAAUCUAAUUUUGUUUGACUUAGUUCUCCCUCUGUUUUGUUCUUUCAGAAGCCAAGGUUACAAGAGUGGUAGAAAACAUUCCUACCUACCCAAAGGGAACUCACUAUAUGCAGAAAGUCCGUAAAGAAAAGUCCCAGAUAAGCCAAUUUGUAUUACCCUAAUCUAAACAAGCUUCAGUAUGAAAGUAUAAUGGAACAUGUUAAUGCUCUUAAUCAACAAAGCCCAGCAGACUGGGACCAAUUUGAGGUCAGAGUUCUUAACUUUCAUGCUACAGACCACUUUGGCAGUCUGGUGAAGCCAUGAACUCUUCUAAGAAUAAUGUUUCUAAAUGUGUAAAAUAAAAUUCAUGGGAACAGUUAUAAUGUGAUAGAAAGUAUCUCAUCCCUAGCAGUGAUACAGACAUAGGUAGAGCUCUUUGUUGCUUACAUUCAAAAUUGAAGGAAAUGCUAAAUUUCAGUUAGAGAUUAGUAAAAAUAAAGAUGCUUCCCCCCCCCCCCAUCCAAGUUCACAUACUCCCUGGAUUCUGUCCAUGAACUUCAUGAUAAAAAAUUUUGGGUAAAGUCUAGUGGGCUUAUUCCUUUUGGUAGGCCUUGAAGGGAUUGUGAAAUUUCAACAUACAGUUAUAAUUUAUAUUCAUAACAGUAGUGAUUCAUUAAAAAAAAAAAGUUUAAUUACUACCAGUAUACUCUCAUUCAGAAUGCAUGGAAUUACACAAUAGGUUUAGGAAAUAGUUUUAUCCCAUUCAUUGAUUUUUUUUUUUUUUUAACUAUACCUAUAAACAUACCCUAUGGAAAACUUACCUAUGCAGAUGACUCAUUCCCCAAGCAUUCUGGUAACUUAGGUUUUACUAUAUCAUUCUUAUUUAUUACAUGCCUUUGCAAAUAAGAUGUGGCAGAAGAACUGCAAAAUGAAAAUAAUAGCCAAAGAUGAAAUUAAAAUACCGUAUAAAAUUUUUAAUAAGUGUUAAUAAUUAUUAUUUGAAGUACUAUGUGUGGGGUCUUUUAUUUCAUUAUCUUAUCAAAUCUCCAUUAUAUAGAUGAAACACUCAAGGUCUUAAAAUUAUUAACUAAUAGAGUCACGAUUUAAAUCUAGGAAGUCUUACCUCAAAGCUCACACUCAGCCAGCAAGCUGUUUAUUUUUUAGUCCUUUGACUAUUAGCCAAUAUUAAUUUGCCUAAUAGUACAACAAGUACAUAUUUGCUGCCUCAAUUAUUUAUGCAUUUCUU
ensembl:lncRNA